UGUGACUAACAGGUAGUGGAAGCACACAAGGAAUUGCACUGACUUCCACAGGUCCCAGAAACUGUAUAAAAGUGCUCACAACCCCAAGCUCUUCCCAGUGCUCCUCUUGGUUUACUCUCCUCAGUGAACUCGGUUGCAUCCUCCCCUCCACCACACCAAGAUGUCUUGCUGCUGUGUGUACCCGUGCUACAGCAUCUGCUACUCCCCCUGCUACAGGACCGUGCGCUGCUCCCGGACCUACAGCUGCUGCAGCCCCUGCAGCUACGGGACCCUGUGCCGCUACGUGCGCAGAUACAGGUGUGGAGACUGCUGCAACUACGGCACAUGUACCACCAGAUACUGUUACCCUUCCUGCUGUAACUACAGCUACAGGUGCUGCUACCCCUGUUGUUAAACCCAGUGGCAAUACCCAGGAAACAAGAAUCAACCACGACCCAGCAAGCAAUGAAGAAUGGCUAAUGUCAGAGGCAAUGCUUACAGAAGCGCUGAGCCCCUGUGGCAGCAACUGAAGUCACUGAGAAUGAGGAGCUUGGCUGCUCUCUAACAUUUCUUGGCAUUUGUAUUUUUGUUCUUUUUUUCUGCUUCUUCCUGUCUUUCACAACUAGGACUUAACUCUGGAUAUUCUGCAUUUAAACCCUUUUGGACAGAUACCCUAUUUAAACUCUUCAGCAAUGAGAACAACAAUCUGCAGCUCAUUUGAAGCUUCUUGCAGUUGCUGCAGUGGUGCUAAAGGACUUCUGCAAAAUUAGCUUUUGUGUCAUCUGCAUUUUCAAUAACUACUUCCAGUAAGGUGCUGCGGGACUGUGUAAUGGAGACAUAUUAUGGCUGUCUCUUCUUUGAUCUGGAUUUACAAGUACCUAAGGGAUGAACAACACAGCUUCCGCAAAAGGAAUGUUCUGGGUAGCAUAGUGCAAUGACUCAUCAUCCAUAGCUCUUUCCAGUAUCCCAAAACUAUAAUCUUUCUGUAUCUGUGCCAACUCCUUUCUUAUUGCAUUAAACUCUUUCUGCAUGAAAAAAAUGGAA